AGCAGCUCUUGGGUGACACACCCCGGAAUAGGGCUCCCUUCUCUCUGGUUCUGAGUUUGUCACCUGAGAGCUGCA
rfam:Myotis davidii contig316386, whole genome shotgun sequence.